GAGGAUCAUUAAUGAAUUCACUAUGGAGUUGUUGCUGGCCUCUAGGGGCAUGUGCACGCUUCACUAGUCUUUCAACCACCUGUGAACUUUUGAUAGAUCUGUGAAGUCGUCUUUCAAGUCGUUAGACUUGGUUUGCUGGGAUGUAAACGUCUCGGUGUGACUACGCAGUCUAUUUACUUAUAACACCCCAAAUGUAUGUCUACGAAUGUCAUUUAAAGGGCCUUGUGCCUAUAAACCAUAAUACAACUUUCAACAACGGAUCUCUUGGCUCUCGCAUCGAUGAAGAACGCAGCGAAAUGCGAUAAGUAAUGUGAAUUGCAGAAUUCAGUGAAUCAUCGAAUCUUUGAACGCACCUUGCGCCCCUUGGUAUUCCGAGGGGCAUGCCUGUUUGAGUGUCAUUAAAUUCUCAAACUCACUCUGGUUUUUCCAAUUGUGAUGUUUGGAUUGUUGGGGGCUGCUGGCCUUGACAGGUCGGCUCCUCUUAAAUGCAUUAGCAGGACUUCUCAUUGCCUCUGCGCAUGAUGUGAUAAUUAUCACUCAUCAAUAGCACGCAUGAAUAGAGUCUGGCUCUCUAACCGUCCGCAAGGACAAUUUGACAAUUUGACCUCAAAUCAGGUAGGACUACCCGCUGAACUUAA
rnacentral:rRNA from 1 species